rnacentral:rRNA from 1 species
CACGAACGCUGGCGGCGUGAAUAACACCAGCAAGUCGAACGAAGCGGCGAACGGGUGAGCAAUACGGGGGUAACCCGCCCUCCUUUUUGGGAUAAGCCUUGGAAACGGGGUCUAAUACCGAAUAAAGGGGGAUGGGCUCGCGGCCUAGCAGCUUGUUGGCGGGGUGAUGGCCUACCAAGGCGGUGACGGGUAGCCGGCCUGAGAGGGUGACCGGCCAUAUUGGGACUGAGAUACGGCCCAGACUCCUACGGGAGGCAGCAGUGGGGGAUAUUGCACAAUGGGCGAAAGCCUGAUGCAGCGACGCCGCGUGGGGGAUGAAGGCUUUCGGGUUGUAAACCUCUUUCGCGAUCUGUCGGUUAGGUGGAGAGUAAACGCCGGCUAACUACGUGCCAGCAGCCGCGGUAAUUC